UGUAAUUUAUUUUUAGCUAUGGAAAAUUUUUAAAAACAAAAUCUUUUACAAAAAUGGCAUGACAUGCAUAGUAGUAAAGUAAAUACUAGAUAUACUGUAAUGGUUCUGAUUCGUUUACAGUAUUCAUUAUCUAUUAUGGGUUUGCAUUAAUUGCAAUUUAUAUAGGUGAUAAUCACAAUAAUUAUUACACUGUCCACCCACCUCCUCACGAAAUAGGAAACUAUAAACCUAAUUUUAAUAUUGAAUAAGGAAUUCAGCACUAUGUUUGGCUAGCUUCUGUAUACCAGCCAUAAUAUUCAUAAUUAUAUUAUCCCUCACUUCCCACAUAAUAUACAAGUCCUUGUACAAAUCAAAUUGCAGAUUCUAGAAGCAGCAACUGAUAUUAUUUUCAAUUCACAAUCGUAUUUCUAUGUGUCUUGUCUUUUUAGGCUCGAUGUCAGAAUCUUCCAGACCAGUCUUUUGGUAAUCACUGCCAUUUUACUAUUCAUUACAACAAUAGUGGUGUCAGCUGGCUGAGGAAAGACGUGUACUAAUUUCCGUAAAUCAGCAGACUAUGCUCACAUUUCUUGCAGCGGUCGUUCUAUAGGAUCAUUUCAUGGGCAAGAAGUAAUAGCAUCAGCUGUAUGUGCUGGUUUGGGUUUCUUCUUAACUGUAUCUGAACUUGUUUUCUUCAUCAUUAUGCAAAGAAUGGGACUCAAUUAACUAUUACUCAAAGCAACGAAGUUAGUGAUGGAACUGAUGAAAAUGAAGAUGAAAUUAAUGCUACUACUAAUAACAGCAGAUUAAAUUUAUAUUUUUGGUAAACAAAUUUUAUUGAUAUGUAUAAAUUAACGUUUGCCUUUUAUUUCUGCACCAUUCAUUCCAAAUUUGACAUGUAUUAAUUUUUAUUAUUGUUGUUGUAAUCAGUAUAUUCAUAUUAUUUAUAAUGGUAUCAAUGCCAAA